rnacentral:rRNA from 1 species
AUUGAACGCUGGCGGCAGGCCUAACACAUGCAAGUCGAGCGGCAGCGGAAAGUAGCUUGCUACUUUGCCGGCGAGCGGCGGACGGGUGAGUAAUGUCUGGGAAACUGCCUGAUGGAGGGGGAUAACUACUGGAAACGGUAGCUAAUACCGCAUGACCUCGAAAGAGCAAAGUGGGGGAUCUUCGGACCUCACGCCAUCGGAUGUGCCCAGAUGGGAUUAGCUAGUAGGUGAGGUAAUGGCUCACCUAGGCGACGAUCCCUAGCUGGUCUGAGAGGAUGACCAGCCACACUGGAACUGAGACACGGUCCAGACUCCUACGGGAGGCAGCAGUGGGGAAUAUUGCACAAUGGGCGCAAGCCUGAUGCAGCCAUGCCGCGUGUGUGAAGAAGGCCUUAGGGUUGUAAAGCACUUUCAGCGAGGAGGAAGGCACCAUACUUAAUACGUGUGGUGAUUGACGUUACUCGCAGAAGAAGCACCGGCUAACUCCGUGCCAGCAGCCGCGGUAAUACGGAGGGUGCAAGCGUUAAUCGGAAUUACUGGGCGUAAAGCGCACGCAGGCGGCUUGUUAAGUCAGAUGUGAAAUCCCCGCGCUUAACGUGGGAACUGCAUUUGAAACUGGCAAGCUAGAGUCUUGUAGAGGGGGGUAGAAUUCCAGGUGUAGCGGUGAAAUGCGUAGAGAUCUGGAGGAAUACCGGUGGCGAAGGCGGCCCCCUGGACAAAGACUGACGCUCAGGUGCGAAAGCGUGGGGAGCAAACAGG